rnacentral:rRNA from 1 species
UACGGAGGGUGAAAGCGUUAUCCGGAUUUACUGGGUUUAAAGGGUGCGUAGGUGGGUCUGUAAGUCAGUGGGGAAAUCUCCGAGCUUAACUCGGAAACUGCCAUUGAUACUAUAGGUCUUGAAUUAUCUGGAGGUAAGCGGAAUAUGUCAUGUAGCGGUGAAAUGCUUAGAUAUGACAUAGAACACCAAUUGCGAAGGCAGCUUACUACGGAUAUAUUGACACUGAGGCACGAAAGCGUGGGGAUCAAACAGG